AUUGAACGCUAGCGGCAGGCCUAACACAUGCAAGUCGAGCGAGCGGCGGACGGGUGUGUAUUGUAUGGGGACUGCCCGAUAGAGGGGGGUAACUACUGGAAACGGUAGCUAAUACAGCAUACUCUCGGAGCAGCCAUAUUGGAUUAGCUAUUUGGUGAGGUAAUGGCGCACCAAGGCGACGAUCCCUAGCUGGUCUUAGAGGACGAUCAGCCAAACUGGGACUGAGACACGGCCCAUACUCCUACGGAGGCAGCGGUGGGGAAUUUUGUACAAUGGGCGCAACCCUGAUGCAGCCAUGCCGCGUGUAUGAAGAAGGCCCUAGGGUUGUAAAGUACUUUUAGUCGGGAAGCGUUACCGACAGAAUAAGCACCGGCUAACUCCGUGCCAGCAGCCGCGGUAAUUC
rnacentral:rRNA from 1 species